GCUCGCAUAGCUCAGUUGGUUAGAGCGUGGUGCUAAUAACGCCAAGGCCGCAGGUUUGACCCCUGCUGUGAGCA
rfam:Basidiobolus meristosporus CBS 931.73 K493scaffold_980, whole genome shotgun sequence.